CAGCAGCCGCCGCGGGAAUACGUAGGUGGCAAGCGUUGUCCGGAAUUAUUGGGCGUAAAGGGCUCGCAGGCGGUUUCUUAAGUCUGAUGUGAAAGCCCCCGGCUCAACCGGGGAGGGUCAUUGGAAACUGGGAAACUUGAGUGCAGAAGAGGAGAGUGGAAUUCCACGUGUAGCGGUGAAAUGCGUAGAGAUGUGGAGGAACACCAGUGGCGAAGGCGACUCUCUGGUCUGUAACUGACGCUGAGGAGCGAAAGCGUGGGGAGCGAACAGGAUUAGAUACCCCCGUAGUCCCUGUCUCUUAUAC
rnacentral:rRNA from 1 species